GCCCCGCCCCUUCCCGCUCGCCUCGCCCCCACGGGCUGCCGGGAGCAGCUCUGCGCCCCGCCCCUCGCCCUCGAGCGCCGCGCCCAUUGGCUGCGCCACCAACCACGUCCCUCCCCUUCCCGCGUGCCGCGCCCCGGGGCAUGUAGGGAGCCGGACCCCGCCCAUGCGCCCUGCGGGCCGGGGGGCGCGGCGGCCGCCUUGACCUUAUGAAGGUCACGCCGGGCCAGGGGGACGCGACAGACGGCGGUUGCGUAAGGGGAAGGACGGGGGUCGCUGAGUCCCACGCCCGAUGUUCAUCCUGCCCCGGCGCCGGCAUCCCCUUCCUCGGAUGCUCGGACCGCUGGGUUCGUCCCGGUGAUUCCCGAGUCCCGGCCGCGACCCCAGGGAUCGCCCAGCGGGAGGAGCGACAGUUCGCGGGGUCAGGGCCGGAGUAGGAGGCCGCCCCGAGUCCCCCAGGCCCGGUUUCUCGAGGGCUUGCCUGUCCCCUGCCCGGUAGACCCCGGGUCCGCCCGUAGGAGCGCCCCCGGAGGACCCUGCCCUGCCGUGGGGUCCCCCGACCCUGACCCCGAGACUCCGGGUGCACUGGGCGCGCUGGGCACUGGGGGGUCCCGGGGGGUCCCUCUCCACCCACCCGGCCGCUUUUCCUGGGCCCUGCCCUUCCGGGGCCCAGUGGGCCUCAGACUCGGGUCCCCCUGCCAGGCCGAGCUCUGCGACGUGGCGGCUCCCAGAGCGACAGGGGCACAUGUGCUACCCGCACACGCUCACUCACACAUGCACCCACGUUCCCAUACCUAGACACGUGUCCACACUUGCCCACGCACACCUGCACACACACGCAGGCAGGCACACAUGCCACCCGCAGGAGUACAUCUGUCCCCCUCCCCCCAGGAAGUCUCCUGAGACCUAGGUGUUUUGAAAUGCUGUGAACUUUUUAUUGAAUUAUAACUAAAUGGCACAAGUCGUAAGUGUAUCGUUCUGUGAAUUUUCACAAAGUGAGUGCAAUGGUGUCUCAGCACCCAGGUCAAGAAAGGAUCCUUUUCUUGGUGCAAGGAUGCGUCCUUUCACUACUUAUUUCCCUCCCUGCCUGUUUCUUCUCCCUCUUUUUUCUCUUUGCUCCACCCCCCCCCCCCCCCCAUAUUUUCACGAGGGGCUUUCCUGCAUCCCCUCCAGCCGGUGACGCUGGGUGGAUGGAUGCCAGGGGCGGGCGCACCAGAGCCCAGGGCACCCGGAGCCUGCCAUUCGUUUCCCAGGUCCCCGGUGUCCUUGCAGGACCUUGCUCUGCCCUCUCCUGACCUCCGUGGAGAAGCAGGAAGGAGAGCGCAGUAUACGGAAGCCGUGGGCCCUUCAUUGCUCCCACACGUCAUCUGCCCGUGACUCUUCCAACUGGGCGUGUCCCUCGGGCGCAUCCUUGGUUCACGGGCACAGCCGUGGGUCAGAGCCCUGCCUGUAGCAGCCCCCCUGCCCGCAGCCCGCAGUGCGCGCAGUAGCCAGGACUAAGGGGGGGUCGGGCACCACCCCCCUCCCCCCGGCCAUGGCGGGCGCUCUGACACCUCCGGUUACAAGUGCAGUUUCUUCUAGCAAAGCCAGUGUCAAGACGGCUGGCUCCCUGACCGGCCAGAGCGCAGGCGUUCCACAUGCCCUGUACCCAUCGCUUGUCACUGGGGACCCAGCCCUGCUGCAACACGGUGCCCUUGGCUGAGGCAGGGUCACCUGCAGGGACUCACCUGUUCUCCCGGGAGAGGAAGGGGGCGGAAGGGAGUGGCCCCCGGUGAACCGCGCAGCGGAUAUGGCCCUGCCAGCGGCCGAGCACCGCCCUGCCCAGGUGAAGGGCCGGGGCGGGCAGAGGGGACCCGGGUGGGCGGGGCGCUCUGCUCUGCGCUCCUGCGAGCCUGGCUGCAGUUUCACUGAGGCUGCAGGUCCACACCGGGGCCAGACGGACGGGGGGCCGUGACCCCUGGCCUUUGCCCCUCUCACUCGGGAGAGCUGCUGGCACUCCGUCGGGGUGGCGCAGCUCCCUUUACAACCAGUGUGUCAUCUCCUCCCGCCUCUCUCUCUGCCUCACAUGGAGACACAAUUUGUGAUUUUUUUCUUUAAAUUGGAGUCUGUCCAAAAUUAUAUACUUGUGUGUGUGUGGAUAUUAUAUGUUAUAAAUAUAUACUUAUACAUUUAUACAUGACAUACAUAGUUUGUAUGCUCUAAAUAUAUGAUAUAUUCUUUUUUUUUAAAGGAUUAAAAAAAUUUAUUUUUGGCUGCGUUGGGUCUUCGUUGCUGCAUGCGGGCUUUCUCUAGUUGUGGCGAGCGGGAGCUACUCUUUGUUGCGGUGCACAGGCUUCUCACUGCGGUGGCUUCUUUUGUUGUGGAGCACGGGCUCUAGGCGCGUGGGCUUCAGUAGUUGUGGCUCACGGGCUCAGUAGUUGUAGCUCACGGGCUCUAGAGCGCAGGCUCAGUAGUUGUGGCUCAUGGGCUCUAGAGCGCAGGCUCAGUAGCUGUGGCGCACGGGCUUAGUUGCUCCAUGGCAUGUGGGAUCUUCCCGGCCCAGGGCUCAAACCCGUGUCCCCUGUGUUGGCAGGCGGAUUCUUAACCACUGCGCCACCAGGGAAGCCCCUAAAAUAUAUCCUUACACCUAGAAAAUUAUACGUCUCUAUUUUUGGAAGUUAUGUAUCUAAGAGUCUGUGGUGGUUUUAGCUGGAAAGCACAGGUGAACUGUCAACACUCAACAGGGGGCCUGUUUGAAAGGACCCCAUCUGACAUUCGGGGCACUGUUUUCUAACGAUAACGGUGUACACGUAACAGACAACGUACACAUUGCUACGCAGUCACCACUGUGCUCGCCUAGUCUUUAAGAGACACUUGGCCUCACACAGGUGCCUGGAGGACGUUUGCAGUAAACAAGCAUCCUGACCCCGUAAACCUCCCCCCGCGUGAGCUCCUGGACGCGGUUUCACCAUGGACGGGGGCAGAGGUGGGUUCCGCCGCCCUGAGCGUAAGAGAAGGCAUCCACCGAUCGGUGUGUCCACACGGCCGGGAGGGCAGAGGACAAACGCACUGAAAAUAGGCCUGAAGCACUGGGAAAUAGGGUCUAGAUGCGCCGAGAUCUAGUCACCAGCGAAGAGGGAGCGAGGGAGAUGCUGACAUCACCCGGGGACCUGGGCUGGCCCGCGCAUCCCUCGCUGGCCCCGGGGUCCCCCCGCCCCCGGCGCUCCCGGCCCGCACGUCCCACCACCCGGGCGCGUCCCCCGCGUCCAGAGCGCCACAGACGCGCGGAGACAGCCGUGCUUUCCGCCUCCUUUAAUCUGUCCGGUGACACCUGCUCUCCAGGAACCCUUCACUGCCGGGCGCUGGGCCCCGCCGGGUUCCCGGUGACCCUCAGGGCGCAGCUCGGGUGCCCAGGACCACGCGCAGCAGGUCGCCCGCGCGCGCCACCCGCACGUCCCGGAAGCCGUGUCGCUGCAGGAGGCGGCGGUGCUCGUCGGGGCUCCGGGGCUGCCCGGCGCUCAGGGUCCGCAGCCGGGGGCUCCGCGACGCCCCCUCCUCCUCCUCCGCCGCCGCUUCCGCCACCAGGAGGCCACCGCCUGGGGAGCCAGAGACGCAGAGACAGAGAGAGACGGGGUGGGGGAGGAGCCUCAGGACCCAGCCCGCGGGGGCCCCGGGCUCCCCACUGAAGGGCUUCGCUGCAGGAAGACACGGACGGCAGGGGUUCCGAGUGUAGGGACACAGCUGCAGCCUGCCUGAUGCCGAAAGGGACGCGCAGGGACCUCCCCGGCGGCAGCGUCCCGGGCGGACCUGCGCACCGGCCCCGAGGGCACCAGGAGCGGGAAUUGUUUUCUUUUUUCUGACUUUUAAUUGGUUCAGUGAGAUUAUCUUUUUUUUUUAAAUUAUAGUUGAUUUGCAAUGUGUUAGUUUUAGGUGUACAGACAAGUGGCUCUGUUAUACACGUACGUAUAUAGAGCAGAGUUCCCUGUGCUGCACAGUAGGUCCUUGUUGGUUCUGUUUUAUGUAGCGUGGUGUUUGCAUGCGGAGCUGCACGUUGCUGGGAGCAACCUACACGAGAGCCGUGAGAAGUAGAAAGUACGCGUGUGUGUGUUCACACUCCUGUACCUGCCCACCUCUCUGCGUAUGUAUUUUCAGAAGCGCUUGUGACGGAGGAGGAGCCAAGCCAGGAGAAGGUAAGCCUGGGGGCAGGAAGCAGAGGGGCAGGAGGUAGCUUACGCGUGCUUCUUCCUUUUGUUUGGGUUACCUGGGGAGACCCCCAGACAAGGCACAAAGCAGGUGGUGGCACACGCGCCCCAGCUCUGCACGCCGGUGACGGUAACUGGGAGAAUUUUGGUGCAAAAUCUCAUUUGGGUUCUAGGCAUUUCAGUAAACAUGAAGUUAACAAAAUGGGGAUCAUAGCCCCACACUAUUAGUUAUAAAAUCAGCUGCAAGGAUAUAUGGUACAGAACGGGGGAUAGAGCCCAUAUUUUAUAACUAUAAAUGGAGUGUAAGCUUUAAACACGGUGAAUUACUAUACUGUACACCUGCAACUUAUGUAACAUUGUACAGCAACUCUACUUCAAUAAAAAGAAUUGGGAUCAUAUGCUAUGCUCACUCUGUUCUCUGUCAGUUUUUAUGUUUUUCAAACUCGUGGAUACACGGGCUUAUUAACUCAAUGGGCUCCAAAAGCCUUAUAUUAAAGGAAGUCUUUUUUUUUUUUUUUGGCCUCGCCGUGCAGCUGGCAGGAUCUUACUUCCCUGACCAGGGUUUGAACCCGCGCCCUCGGCACUGAAAGCGCAGACUCCUAACCACUGGACUGCCAGGGAAUUCCCAGGAGGUCACGCUCAAUUCUUAUCUGUGACCCCACUGUCCCCAGGGUGCAGGCAACCUUUGCAAUCCCAGCUACGGGGGUGGAGGGAAGCCCUGGUUCCGGGUGCCUGCCAAUUUCUGAGCUCUAAGUAUUUCCUCCAUGGCCAAUUUCACGCUGACAGCUUGGUAUGAGCUGGCUGGCAGGAGUGCUGAACAUCUAACAAGCAGUUCUAGCCAGCAGGUCUAAGCUGCAACACACCGCACGGACCCCCGCCCCCAAAAACCCUUCGCAGUAUAAAUGCGACUUCGAACUGACUGUCCCCAGGUUCCGUGACUGUCUCUGAGGGCCACCCUCCUCCAGGAGGACCUCACCUCAGACCCUUCACUUCAUCACAUCAGCAAAGACCCUGCUUCCAAACAAGAUUCUAGGUGGACGUGAAUUUUGGGGGGGACCAUCUUCAUCGUGCUACAGGGACCAACAAGAACGCCUCAACUACAUGGUUGUCUUGGGGACAGAAACCGGCUCAUAAGAGGCAGCGGAGGUGCCCCAGGAGAUGCCAGGGUCGCAGGACGUGGAAAGAGAGCUCGUCUUGCGCCGCUGGACGUGGGGACGCAGGGAGGGGCCCGGGCGGCUUGGUCCCCUCGACUCCACGAGCCCGAUGACCCACGUUGGCCCCGAGCGCCGUGGGGACAGGCUGGGUACCACAGAGCAGCCCGGAAAAUCAUCAUCAUCGGAGGAGGGAGACCCUGAGCCCAGUGGGGCCCGGGGAGGGACACGGCCGCAGGGGGCGUCCAUGAGCCCGAGACCCCAGACGCUGGCUCCAGAAAGUUCAGAAACGCAUCACUGACACCCGAGAGUGAGGCAAGUGCCUGAUGUGGUCUCACCUGGUUUGCAGCCGCUCGAGAUCCGGCUCAGUAACUUGUGGAGUCUGUCAUCCGGCCAGUCCUGCAGAAUUCUGGAAAGAACGUACAGAUCUGCUUCCGGGAGGUUGUCUUUGAAA